rnacentral:rRNA from 1 species
UACAGAGGGGUGCAAACGUUGCUCGGAAUCAUUGGGCGUAAAGAGCUCGUAGGCGGUCUGUCGCGUCGGCUGUGAAAUCCCGAGGCUCAACCUCGGGUCUGCAGUCGAUACGGGCAAACUGGAGUGUUGCAGGGGGAGACUGGAAUUCCUGGUGUAGCGGUGAAAUGCGCAGAUAGUCAGGAGGAACACCGGUGGCGAAGGCGGGUCUCUGGGCAACAACUGACGCUGAGGAGCGAAAGGCGUGGGGGAGCGAACACGG